CAGUCACUUCCACAAAUUUUAUACAUAUAUAUAUAUAUAUAUGUGUGUGUGUGUGUGUGUAUACAUAUAAACACACAAACACACACAUACAUUUUAUUACAUACUAUA
rnacentral:miRNA from 1 species